CUGUCGUGGGGGAUAACGUAGAAACUUACGCUAAUACCGCAUACGACCUAACGGUGAAAGCGGGGGAUCGCAAGACCUCGCGGCUGGAGAAGCCGAUGUCAGAUUAGCUAGUUGGCGGGGUAAAGGCCCACCAAGGACGAUCUGUAGCUGGUCUGAGAGGAUGAUCAGCCACACUGGGACUGAGACACGGCCCACUCCUACGGGAGGCAGCAGUGGGGAAUAUUGGACAAUGGGCGCAAGCCUGAUCCAGCAGCCGCGUGUGUGAAGAAGGCCUUCGGGUUGUAAAGCACUUUUAUCUGGAACGAAACACAAGGUUAAUACCUUUGCGGACUGACGGUACCAGAGGAAUAAGCACCGGCUAACUUCGUCAGCAGCCGCGGUAAUACGAAGGGUGCAAGCGUUACUCGGAAUUACUGGGCGUAAAGCGAGUAGGUGGUUUCUUAAGUCUGCUGUGAAAGCCCCGGGCUCAACCUGGGAAUUGCAGGAUACUGGGAAGCUAGAGUGCGGUAGAGGGUAGUAGAAUUCCCGGUGUAGCGGUGAAACGUAGAGAUCGGGAGGAACACCAGUGGCGAAGGCGGCUACCUGGACCAGCACUGACACAGUCACGAAAGCGUGGGGAGCAAACAGGAUUAGAUACCCUGGUAGUCCACGCCCUAAAAUGCGAACUGGAUGUUGGGUGCAACUUGGCACUCAGUAUCGAAGCUAACGCGUUAAGU
rnacentral:rRNA from 1 species